rnacentral:tRNA from 1 species
GGGGGACUAGUGUAUCGGUUUAACACGGCGGUCUCCAAAACCGCAGCGCCAGGUUCGACUCCUGGGUCCCCCG